rnacentral:pre_miRNA from 14 species
UUGAACUCAAUUUUCGUCGGCGUGCAUGUAUCUGGUGCACGGUUUUCAGUUGCAAUAUAGCUUCGUGACUAGAUUACAUGCUCGUCUAUGAAGUUGGGACCG